ensembl:lncRNA
GGUGGGGUUCUAUGGGGUCUUAUGGGGUCUGGGGUCUAUGGGGGUCUUGGGUUCUAUGGGGGUUGGGUUCUAUGGGGUCUUGGGUUCUAUGGGGUUGGGGUCUCUGGUUCUUAUGGGGGUGUGGGUCUAUGGGGAUGGGGGUCUCUGGGUUCUAUGGGGUCAUGGGUUCUAUAGGGGAUGGGGGUCCUGCGGUUCUUAUGGAUGGGGGUCUUGGGUUCUAUGGGGUCUUGGGUUCUUGGGGUCUUGGGGUUCUAUGGGGGUUGUGGGGUCUAUGGGGUCAGGGGUUCCUGGGGGUCUAUAGGGAUGGGGGUCCUGGGGUCUAUGGGGUCCUGGGGUCUAUAGGGAUGGGGGUCCUGGGUUCUAUGGGGUGGGGGUCUUGGGUUCUAUGGGGGUCGUGGUGUCUAUAGGGUGGGGGUCCUGGGUUCUAUGGGGGUCGUUGGCUGUCUAUAGGGGAUGGGGGUUCCUGGGGUUCUAUGGGGGUUGUGGGUUCUAUUGGGGGUGGGGGUCCUGGGUCUAUGGGGUCCUGGGGUUCUAUGGAGGUCCUGGGUUCUAUGGGGUCUUGGGUUCUAUGGGGUGGGGGUCUUGGGUUCUAUGGGGGUCAUGGGUUCUAUGGGGUUCUUUUUCUGUUUAUGGGAUGGGGGUUCUAAUGGGGUCCUGGGUUCGUAUGGGGUCGGGGGUCCUGGGGCUCUAUGGUCUUACAGGGAUGGGCAUUAUAAGGGGCUAUGGGUUGAUGAAAGGGGGUCCUCGGAUCUUGGGGCAGAACCUGGACCCCCAUCUGUCCCCCCCACCCAGCCCCCCAAGAAGAGGAGCCCCACAGCUGCCCCCCAACUUCGGCCCUACAACGCCCCUAUCACUGCAUGUUGUGUAAUAGGCAUUUCUGCUUCACCCCCAUUGAGAUCCUGCGGCAUCGAUGGCAGCAUCGGUGAUGGGAGAAACCCUAUAGGGGAUAUAGGGUGCCCUAUAUGGGAUAUGGGGUGCCCUAUAUGGGAUAUAGGUGCCCUAUAUGGGAUAUGGGGUGCCCUAUAUGGGAUAUAGGGUGCCCUAUAUGGGAUAUAGGGUGCCCUAUAGGGGAUAUGGGGUGCCCUAUAUGGGAUAUGGGGUGCCCUAUAUGGGAUAUAGGGUUCCUAUAGGGGAUUAUAGGGUGCCCUUAUGGGCAUAUGGGGGUGGCCCUUAUGGGAUAUAGGGUCGCCCUUCAUGGGAUA